rnacentral:rRNA from 1 species
AGCGAACGCUGGCGGUAGGCCUAACACAUGCAAGUCGAACGGCAGCACAGUAAGAGCUUGCUCUUACGGGUGGCGAGUGGCGGACGGGUGAGGAAUACAUCGGAAUCUACUUUUUCGUGGGGGAUAACGUAGGGAAACUCACGCUAAUACUGCAUACUACCUACGGGUGAAAUCAGGAGAUCUUCGGACCUCGCGCGCUUUAUUGAGCCGAUGUCGUAUUAGCUAGUUGGCGGGGUAAAGGCCCACCAGGGCGACAAUCCGUAGCGGGUCGCAGAGAAUGAUAGGCCAAACGGGAACGGAUACGGGGUCCAGACUCUUACGGGAGGCAGCAGUGGGGAAUAUUGGACAAUGGGCGAAGGCCUAGUCCAGCCAUACCGCGUGGGUGAAGAAGGCGUUCGGGUUUUAAAGCCCUUUUGUUGGGAAGGAAAAGCAGCAAGUUAAUACCUCGCUGUACUGACGGUACCCAAAGAAUAAGCACCGGCUAACUUCGUG